AUUGAACGCUGGCGGCAUGCCUUGCACAUGCAAGUCGAACGGUAACGGGCCUUCGGGUGCCGACGAGUGGCGAACGGGUGAGUAAUACAUCGGAACGUGCCCGAUCGUGGGGGAUAACGAGGCGAAAGCUUUGCUAAUACCGCAUACGAUCUACGGAUGAAAGCCGGGGACCGCAAGGCCUUGCGCGGACGGAGCGGCCGAUGGCAGAUUAGGUAGUUGGUGGGAUAAAAGCUUACCAAGCCGACGAUCUGUAGCUGGUCUGAGAGGAUGAUCAGCCACACUGGGACUGAGACACGGCCCAGACUCCUACGGGAGGCAGCAGUGGGGAAUUUUGGACAAUGGGCGCAAGCCUGAUCCAGCCAUGCCGCGUGCAGGAUGAAGGCCUUCGGGUUGUAAACUGCUUUUGUACGGAACGAAAAGCCUUCUUUUAAUACAGGAGGGUCAUGACGGUACCGUAAGAAUAAGCACCGGCUAACUACGUG
rnacentral:rRNA from 1 species